UUAAUUACUGGCACUGAAUCACACUACAUUUUUUGAAUACACAGCCUGGUAUAAAAACAACAUCUUGUGUAACUGCUGUGGGACUUAUAUUUAAUUUUUCUCUGUAGCAGGUGAAAAACUAACAAAUAACUUGAGAUCCAGUGCUACACCUCUCCGUUCUCUGUCCAUCUCUCCAAUUGAAGCCGAUUCUCAUCCACUACAGCCUCUCACUUUUCUCAAAGAAAUGCAGGCCUUGUCUCUCUAUAAAACCACAGGGAAUAAAGGUGCUCUGAAACUGCCUUCUCACUCCAUAACACCUGUUUCCACAACCUCAAGGGGCUCUAAGUGGAAUCCACCCGCUGCACAGGUUGAUCCCAACUCAACCCCUGGAGAAAUCCACCCUGCCCUCCCCACACAUCCCUCCAGACCUCCAGGAGGAGCAGAGAGGUGUGAUGAACAAAACCAGCCCAACAUCUUUUGAAAGAAAGUCUGUCAUUUCUGUGACAAUGAGCCAAUCCUCUCACAUAUCUGUGAGCAACAUGGCCCUGAUGUGCACUGAACUAGAGAAAACACCCGCAUGCCAGAAAGGAAGUAAGGUUGAGAGACUAGAAUUUAAGUCAGGUCCAACAGCCGUCCACAAGCAUCUUGCCCUGAGCCACUCCGCUAGUCUUUCAGAGAGAGAUGAGGACAGUGAGGAGGACAAAGAGAAUAAGGCUCCUUCUCCCUCACAGCUAGCUCUGAAAAUGAAGCCCAGGAAGCUGUUUGGGCCUACUAAUAAAUCCUUCACUCCUAGUAAGGCCAAGGAAGUGGAGACACUGUCAUCUUGUACGAAGUCCAGUUGCAGGCAUGCCAGUGUGGAGGCAGACAUUGAUGUGACCCAGCCUGCUCAGCAGGUGGGCUUUAUCUGCCAUCAGUUCAGCUCAGAGUUUAAGAGGAAGAUCAAGAAUCGCUGCAGGACAAUGGAUCUUUACACCAGGCAGACUUUGAAGACCUUACAGCAGCACAUGUCCUCCGUCAGUGUCCAAUAUACCAGUAUAGGUCAGGCAUGACCCUUGACUCAGAAGAGGUCAGAGUUUCUGCCCUAAAACAGAUGUCUUUGAUGAAGAAGAACAUGAAGUCAGUUCAGGAGCGUUUCUUCAAAGAAAUGGUGAGAGAGCCCAAACUGAUAUUUUAUACUUAGGCACAAAAUUCUGCAGGACUGAAUUCAAGUUUUUUUGUCUUUGUAGCACGAGGAAGAGUUGACGAGUGUGGGAAGAGCACUGCAAUCCUUGUUCUUCCCUGAUACAUCGAGGUUCUGACCUGAGGGGAAAAAAAUCUGCCGUUUGAAAAUCACUUUAAGCUACUCCUAAAAUGUGUUUGUAUGCUUGGAUAUCAUUAAUGUUAUGUUCUUUUAAAUUUUUCCUACUCAAAAGGUUUAAUAUUUGUACUUCAUGCCGUUUAUUCUGGUCUUCGUGAAAAAAUGGUUGGCUGUACAUGGUUUUUGCGCACAUAUUUGCUUAUAUAUGCCAUAUAUGGUUUUUAAUAUGAAUAGUUGUGAAAAGCAAAUAAGUAAAUGUUAUAGGUAAUGUAAGAACAAAUGCAUUUAUUUCAAACAUCCCACCUCAUAAUAAUCAACUUCAGAUUUAUAUGUGCAGAAAUGAAAAAGGGAUACUGGAUUCUGAAACCAUCAUAAGAACUUUUUUUGCAUUCACUAGCAAGGGCCUGAAUAAGCAAUCCUCAUGGGUUCAGUUGAUGGGAGAUGUUGAAAAAUAAACACAGAAAGCUUUACUGAAAGGGUUUUUUCUCAUUUUUACUUGCAGUUGAUGGCACUCAAAAUUAAGAUCAGAUUGAGUGACUUUAAAGGGAGAGUAGGCGAUUUUGGAGAGGCUAGCUUUGAAAGCAUAAGAUCCCACCCUCCCUGCAAAUCACUCUCCAAAGCCACGCCUCCUCCAAAACACAUGAACGUGCACAAGCAGACCAUCAGCUAACCAGCGACACUGUGAGAGAUGAUGUUUGUGGAGG
rnacentral:lncRNA from 1 species